AGGGUUUGAUCAUGGCUCAGAACGUACGCUGGCGGCACGCCUAAUACAUGCAAGUCGAACGAAGUAGCAAUACUUAGUGGCAGACGGGUGAGUAACAUGUAGGUAUCUGCCCUUUGGCCUGGAAUAACACGAGGAAACUUGUGCUAAUACCGGAUAAGUCUUUACGGAGAAAGCUUUAUGCACCAUUGGAUGAGCCUGCACUUGAUUAGUUUGUUGGUAGGGUAAUGGCCUACCAAGACUGUGAUCAAUAGCUGAUUUGAGAGGAUGAUCAGCCACAUUGGGACUGAGACACGGCCCAAACUCCUACGGGAGGCAGCAGUAGGGAAUCUUGCACAAUGGAGGAAACUCUGAUGCAGCGAUGCCGCGUGAGUGAAGAAGGCCUUUGGGUUGUAAAGCUCUUUCGUCGGGGAAGAAAAUGACUGUACCCGAAUAAGAAGGUCCGGCUAACUUCGUGCCAGCAGCCGCGGUAAUACGAAGGGACCUAGCGUAGUUCGGAAUUACUGGGCUUAAAGAGUUCGUAGGUGGUUGAAAAAGUUGGUGGUGAAAUCCCAGAGCUUAACUCUGGAACUGCCAUCAAAACUUUUCAGCUAGAGUUUGAUAGAGGAAAGCAGAAUUUCUAGUGUAGAGGUGAAAUUCGUAGAUAUUAGAAAGAAUACCAAUUGCGAAGGCAGCUUUCUGGAUCAAUACUGACACUGAGGAACGAAAGCAUGGGUAGCGAAGAGGAUUAGAUACCCUCGUAGUCCAUGCCGUAAACGAUGUGUGUUAGACGUUGGAAACUUAUUUUCAGUGUCGCAGCGAAAGCGAUAAACACACCGCCUGGGGAGUACGACCGCAAGGUUAAAACUCAAAUGAAUUGACGGGGACCCGCACAAGUAGUGGAGCAUGUGGUUUAAUUCGAAGAUACGCGCAGAACCUUACCAACACUUGACAUGUUCGUCGCGACUUUAAGAGAUUAAAGUUUUCGGUUCGGCCGGACGAAACACAGGUGCUGCAUGGCUGUCGUCAGCUCGUGUCGUGAGAUGUUGGGUUAAGUCCCGCAACGAGCGCAACCCUCACUUUUAGUUGCCAUCAUUCAGUUGGGCACUCUGAAAGAACUGCCAGUGAUAAGCUGGAGGAAGGUGGGGAUGACGUCAAGUCCUCAUGGCCCUUACGUGUUGGGCUACACACGUGCUACAAUGGUAUCUACAACAGGAAGCAAGACGGCGACGUUAAGCAAAUCCUUAAAAGAUACCUCAGUUCGGAUUGCACUCUGCAACUCGAGUGCAUGAAGCUGGAAUUACUAGUAAUCGUGGAUCAGCGUGCCACGGUGAAUGCGUUCCCGGGUCUUGUACACACCGCCCGUCACACCAUGGGAGUUGGUUCUACCUUAAGGCAAGGUUUCAAACCCUUGACCACGGUAUAGUCAGCGACUGGGGUGAAGUCGUAACAAGGUAACCGUA
rnacentral:rRNA from 1 species